UACGAAGGGGGCUAGCGUUGCUCGGAAUUACUGGGCGUAAAGGGCGCGUAGGCGGAUAGUUUAGUCAGAGGUGAAAGCCCAGGGCUCAACCUUGGAAUUGCCUUUGAUACUGGCUAUCUUGAGUUCGGGAGAGGUGAGUGGAAUGCCGAGUGUAGAGGUGAAAUUCGUAGAUAUCUGGAGGAACACCGGUGGCGAAGGCGGGUCUCUGGGCCGAAACUGACGCUGAGGAGCGAAAGCGUGGGGAGCAAACAGG
rnacentral:rRNA from 1 species